rnacentral:rRNA from 1 species
CGCGUAGGCGGUUGUACAAGUCGCAUGUGAAAUACCAGGGCUCAACUCUGGGGGGUCAUGCGAAACUGUAUAACUUGAGUGCAGUAGAGGGAAGCGGAAUUCCUGGUGUAGCGGUAAAAUGCGUAGAGAUCAGGAGGAACACCGGUGGCGAAGGCGGCUUCCUGGGCUGUAACUGACGCUGAUGCGCGAAAGCGUGGGGAGCAAACAGGAUUAGAUACCCUGGUAGUCCACGCUGUAAACGAUGAAUACUAGGUGUAGGGGACGCAGGUCUUCUGUGCCGGAGCAAACGCAAUAAGUAUUCCGCCUGGGGAGUACGGCCGCAAGGUUGAA